CUGCUCUUGACUGCUUGCUUUUCAGAUUUUCUGUCUUUCUUGAAUGUUUCUGUCAUCCUUCAAGAGGUCUGAAUAGAUCAUGGAACCAUGUUCAAGGGCUGCUGUAUUAAUGAAAGAAGUACAUGAUCAUCCCAAUAGAUGCAGAAAGAGAAUGUGACAAAAUUCGACUGCCAUUCAUGAUAAAAACUCUCAGAAAACUAGGACUAGAAGGGAACUUCCUCAACCUGACAAAGCAUCUCUACAAAAAACCUGUCAGUAACAUCACAUUUGAUGAUAAAAGAGAAAAAGAGUGUUUUUCUGGCCGGGCACAAUGGCUCACACCUGUAAUCCCAGGACUUUGGGAGCCUGAGGUGGGCGGAUCAUGAGGUCAGGAGUUCGAGACCCGCCUUACCAACAUGGUAAAACCCCGUCUCUACUAAAAAUACAAAAAAGUUAGCCGGGUGUGGUGGUGCAUGCCCGUAAUCCCAGCUACUCUGGAGGCUGAGGCAGAACUGCUUGAACCCAGAAGGUGGAGGUUGCAGUGAGCCAAGAUCACACCACUGAACUCCAGCCUGGGCUGACAAAGCAAGACUCCAUCUCAAAAAAGAAAAAAAGAAAAAAACAAACAAACAAACAGAGUGCUUUUCCUCUAAUGUUGGGAACACGGCAAGGAAGUCCACUCACUACUCAUAUUUAACAUACUGGAUGUCUUGGCUAAUGCAAAAAGGCAAGAACAAGAAAUAAAAAACUUAUGGCGUGGGAAGGAAGAAAUAAAACUGUGUUUAUUUGCAGAUGACAUAAUUGACUUUGUAGAAAAUUUCAAGGAAUCUUCAGAAAAGAUGAUUUAACCCCUUUUACACCAUGG
rnacentral:lncRNA from 10 species